rnacentral:rRNA from 1 species
GAUGAACGCUGACAGAAUGCUUAACACAUGCAAGUCAACUUGAAUUUGGGUUUUUAACUUAGGUUUGGGUGGCGGACGGGUGAGUAACGCGUAAAGAACUUGCCCCACAGCUAGGGACAACAUUUGGAAACGAAUGCUAAUACCUAAUAUUAUGAUAAUAGGGCAUCCUAUAAUUAUGAAAGCUAUAAGCGCUGUGAGAGAGCUUUGCGUCCCAUUAGCUAGUUGGAGAGGUAACGGCUCACCAAGGCGAUGAUGGGUAGCCGGCCUGAGAGGGUGAUCGGCCACAAGGGGACUGAGACACGGCCCUUACUCCUACGGGAGGCAGCAGUGGGGAAUAUUGGACAAUGGACCGAGAGUCUGAUCCAGCAAUUCUGUGUGCACGAUGAAGUUUUUCGGAAUGUAAAGUGCUUUCAGUUGGGAAGAAACAAAUGACGGUACCAACAGAAGAAGUGACGGCUAAAUACGUG